CAAGCAAGCAAGUGGUUGUCAGUGCAGCUAGUAAAUCACCUGAUCCUAUUACAAAAUCAAUUACUGCAGUGCAUUUCCAUUGCUACACAAUCUGACGAUGACAAAAUGAUAUUGGAUAGCUACUGCAAGGUCAAGACAACUGCUAAGAACAUCUUUAAUUGGUCUUUUAUUUUUAAUCAUUUGAUCCUAGUUAUAAUGCAUUCAUUUUACUUGUAUAUUUUUAUUUGAAAUAAAUCUAUGUAGUUACCUUUGGUUGCCUGGGACACUCGAUGGAUAAUCUCUGCACCUGGUCUGAUGUAUGGCUACAAGAGAACAGAUCGGAGCAGCAGGUCGAACGGCUCAACCUCUUCAUUAAAGAAGAAAUAAUGCUGCAGCCACAGCCACACAUUGACUUGCUCAUUAGAUGAGAAUUUGACUCUAAAAAUUGGAACCGGUAAUGUCCCAUAUAUACUCAAAAUGGGCUAACUGCCUCAUUCUGCAGCUCUCUGGCUGGAAGAAACACUGCUAAAAAAGAAUAAACAACAGCUUCCCUCCAGACGACACCAGCCACAAACUCAUCGCCAAGAAAAACUCAGCACGAAAAACAGAAGUCUCCUGGCCACUCUUUAGAGAAAAGGAAUGAGCCCCACCCCUCGGUGUCCCCACACACACCGUGCAAGAACCGCUCAAUAUCUGGAAAAGAACUGCUGCUGCAUUGCUUUGAGAAACAACAGGGAGCAAACUGCUGGAUGGAUUCUGUAACUUACCAAUCAGAACGGCUGACCUUUUAUGACUCGACAAUUCAAGGAGCCUGCCAAACCCUCACAAGGCGGUCUGUGUCCUGGCUGCUCUGCUUCUAAUCCAGCUCCCUGCUAUCUGCCUGAGAAAAGAAGUGGAAGAUGGCCCAAGUAUUUGGGCUCCAGUCAUCCAUGUGGAAGACCCAGAUGAACUUCCUGGCUCCUGACUUUGGCUUGGUCCUGCACUGGCCGUUGCAGCUACCAGAUAAGUGAACCAGCAGGUGGAAGAGAUCUCUCUCUCUCCCUCUUUCUCUGCAACGCUGUCUUUCAAAUAAAUAAAUCUUCAAAAGAAUGAAAAUUUAAAAAAGAGUGAACAUAUUAAGUCUUAAAUCCUUCAUUACAAAAUUAAAUGAAAACUAUCCUAAAGAACAGAAAUGUUCUACAAAAUCAAAUCUGUCACUUCUAUUUAAUAAAUGGGGGAUCCUGUAAAAUUUUAUUUGCAUAGUCAGUAAAAUUCAGGUCUAUCUAGAACCAGGUAGAGUCAUGAACCACAUAACAAUUCAGUCAAUGACAAACUUGCAUGUACAACAGA